rnacentral:rRNA from 1 species
AGAGUUUGAUCCUGGCUCAGGACGAACGCUGGCGGCGUGCCUAACACAUGCAAGUCGAGCGGGGACAUUUGCGACGGACAUGAAGUUUUCGGAUGGAUUGAAAGAUGUAAUGUUCUAGCGGCGGACGGGUGAGUAACGCGUGAGCAACCUGUCCCUUACAGGGGGAUAACACAGCGAAAGUUGUACUAAUACCGCAUAAGACCACAGAGCGACAUCGCUUAGGGGUCAAAGGAGCAAUCCGGUAAGGGUGGGCUCGCGUCCGAUUAGAUAGUUGGUGAGGUAACGGCCCACCAAGUCGACGAUCGGUAGCCGACCUGAGAGGUGAUCGGCCACAUUGGGACUGAGACACGGCCCAAACUCCUACGGGAGGCAGCAGUGGGGAAUAUUGGGCAAUGGGGAAACCCUGACCCAGCAACGCCGCGUGAGGGAAGAAGGUUUCGGAUCGUAAACCUCUGUCCUUGGUGAAGAGAAGAGACGGUAGCCUGGGAGGAAGCUCCGGCUAACUACGUGCC